UACGUAGGGUGCAAGCGUUAAUCGGAAUUACUGGGCGUAAAGCGUGCGCAGGCGGUUUUGUAAGUCUGUCGUGAAAUCCCCGGGCUUAACCUGGGAAUUGCGAUGGAGACUGCAAGGCUAGAAUCUGGCAGAGGGGGGUAGAAUUCCACGUGUAGCAGUGAAAUGCGUAGAGAUGUGGAGGAACACCGAUGGCGAAGGCAGCCCCCUGGGUCAAGAUUGACGCUCAUGCACGAAAGCGUGGGUAGCGAACAGG
rnacentral:rRNA from 1 species